rnacentral:rRNA from 1 species
GUACACGCUGUGACUAGCAUAUCAAUAAGCGGAGGAAAAGAAACUAACAAGGAUUCCCCUAGUAACGGCGAGUGAAGCGGGAAGAGCUCAAAUUUGAAAUCUUAAAGGGUUUCCCUUUACGAAUUGUAGUUUAAAGAAGUGUUUUCUGUUGAGGUUUUGGUAAAAGUUCUUUGGAAUAGGACAUCAUAGAGGGUGAGAAUCCCGUAUUUGACCUUUACUUUCAACUUUGUGAUACACUUUCAAAGAGUCGGAUUGUUUGGGAAUGCAGUCCAAAACUGGGUGGUAAAUUUCAUCUAAAGCUAAAUAUUGGCGAGAGACCGAUAGCGAACAAGUACCGUGAGGGAAAGAUGAAAAGAACUUUGAAAAGAGAGUUAAACAGUACGUGAAAUUGUCAAAAGGGAAGCGUUUGACACCAGUGUUGUUUUUCUGAAAAUCAAUUAAAGAACUGUUUAUGCUAAGCUGUUUAGACUUUAUCAGCUAUCUGUUUAGUUUUGAGCUUUUCUUUAAUGCACUUUUCAGUUAACAAGUCAACAUCAAUUUCUUUUGCUGUAAAAAAGCUUGAGGAAGGUGGCUUGAGAUUCGUCUUAAGUGUUUAUAGCCUCUUGCCUAUGCAGUCGGAGAGAUUGAGGUCUGCAGCGUAGAUCCUUCGGGGCUAAAUGCAUUUGUGCUAAGUUAUAGCAUUUUAUAGACAACUUGUUGACUAUGAUUUGUCUUGUAGCUUACUCGCUUAUGUUAUUUUACCUACGCUUAGGAUGUUGAUAUGCAUGACUGAUAU